rnacentral:rRNA from 1 species
AUUGAACGCUGGCGGCAGGCCUAACACAUGCAAGUCGAGCGGAUGAAGGGAGCUUGCUCCUGGAUUCAGCGGCGGACGGGUGAGUAAUGCCUAGGAAUCUACCUGGUAGUGGGGGAUAACGUCCGGAAACGGGCGCUAAUACCGCAUACGUCCUGAGGGAGAAAGUGGGGGAUCUUCGGACCUCACGCUAUCAGAUGAGCCUAGGUCGGAUUAGCUAGUUGGUGGGGUAAAGGCCUACCAAGGCGACGAUCCAUAACUGGUCUGAGAGGAUGAUCAGUCACACUGGAACUGAGACACGGUCCAGACUCCUACGGGAGGCAGCAGUGGGGAAUAUUGGACAAUGGGCGAAAGCCUGAUCCAGCCAUGCCGCGUGUGUGAAGAAGGUCUUCGGAUUGUAAAGCACUUUAAGUUGGGAGGAAGGGCAGUAAGUUAAUACCUUGCUGUUUUGACGUUACCAACAGAAUAAGCACCGGCUAACUUCGUG